rnacentral:rRNA from 1 species
UAAGCGGAGGAAAAGAAACUAACAAGGAUUCCCCUAGUAGCGGCGAGCGAAGCGGGAAGAGCUCAAAUUUAUAAUCUGGCACCUUCGGUGUCCGAGUUGUAAUCUCUAGAAGUGUUUUCCGCGUUGGACCGCACACAAGUCUGUUGGAAUACAGCGGCACAGUGGUGAUACCCCCGUACACGGUGCGGACGCCCAGCGCUUUGUGAUACACUUUCAAUGAGUCGAGUUGUUUGGGAAUGCAGCUCAAAUUGGGUGGUAAAUUCCAUCUAAAGCUAAAUAUUGGCGAGAGACCGAUAGCGAACAAGUACCGUGAGGGAAAGAUGAAAAGCACUUUGGAAAGAGAGUUAACAGUACGUGAAAUUGUUGGAAGGGAAACGCUUGAAGUCAGACUUGCUUGCCGGAGCUUGCUUCGGUUUGCAGGCCAGCAUCAGUUUUCCGGGGUGGAUAAUGGUGGUUUGAAGGUAGCAGCCUCGGCUGUGUUAUAGCUUUCCACUGGAUACAUCCUGGGGGACUGAGGAACGCAGCGUGCUUUUUGCGAAGGUUUCGACCUUUUCACGCUUAGGAUGCUGGUGUAAUGACUUUAAACGACCCGUCUUGAAACA